GAUGAAGAACGCAGCGAAAUGCGAUAAGUAAUGUGAAUUGCAGAAUUCAGUGAAUCAUCGAAUCUUUGAACGCACAUUGCGCCCGCCAGUAUUCUGGCGGGCAUGCCUGUCCGAGCGUCAUUUCAACCCUCGAACCCCUCCGGGGGGUCGGCGUUGGGGAUCGGCCCUCCCUUAGCGGGUGGCCGUCUCCGAAAUACAGUGGCGGUCUCGCCGCAGCCUCUCCUGCGCAGUAGUUUGCACACUCGCAUCGGGAGCGCGGCGCGUCCAUAGCCGUUAAACACCCAACUUCUGAAAUGUUGACCUCGGAUCAGGUAGGAAUACCCGCUGAACUUAAGCAUAUCAAUAAGCGGAGGA
rnacentral:misc_RNA from 1 species